rnacentral:rRNA from 1 species
UACGUAGGUGGCAAGCGUUAUCCGGAAUUAUUGGGCGUAAAGCGCGCGCAGGUGGUUUCUUAAGUCUGAUGUGAAAGCCCACGGCUCAACCGUGGAGGGUCAUUGGAAACUGGGAGACUUGAGUGCAGAAGAGGAAAGUGGAAUUCCAUGUGUAGCGGUGAAAUGCGUAGAGAUAUGGAGGAACACCAGUGGCGGAGGCGACUUUCUGGUCUGUAACUGACACUGAGGCGCGAAAGCGUGGGGAGCAAACAGG